GACGAACGCUGGCGGCGUGCUUAACACAUGCAAGUCGAGCGGUAAGGCUCCUUCGGGCGUACACGAGCGGCGAACGGGUGAGUAACACGUGAGUAAUCUGCCCUUCACUUCGGGAUAACCACCGGAAACGGUGGCUAAUACCGAAUACGACCAGUCUUCGCAUGAGGUGCUGGUGGAAAGUCUUUUCGGUGAAGGAUGUGCUCGCGGCCUAUCAGCUUGUUGGUGGGGUAAUGGCCUACCAAGGCUUCGACGGGUAGCCGGCCUGAGAGGGUGACCGGCCACACUGGGACUGAGACACGGCCCAGACUCCUACGGGAGGCAGCAGUGGGGAAUAUUGGACAAUGGGCGAAAGCCUGAUCCAGCAACGCCGCGUGAGGGAUGACGGCCUUCGGGUUGUAAACCUCUUUCAGUACCGACGAAGCGCCCUGUCGGGUGGUGACGGUAGGUACAGAAGAAGGACCGGCCAACUACGUA
rnacentral:rRNA from 1 species